rnacentral:rRNA from 1 species
GAUGAACGCUGGCGGCGUGCCUAAUACAUGCAAGUCGAGCGAACAGACGAGGAGCUUGCUCCUGUGACGUUAGCGGCGGACGGGUGAGUAACACGUGGAUAACCUACCUAUUAGACUGCGAUAACUUUGGGAAACCGGGUCUAAUACCGGAUAAUAUAUUGAACCGCAUUGUCCAAUAGUGAAAGACGGUUUUUCUGUCCCUUAUAGAUUGAUCCGCGCCCCAUUAGUUAGUUGGUAAGGUAACUGCUUACCAAUGCAACGGUGCGUAGCCGACCGGAGAGGGAGGGCGGCCGCACUGGAACUGAGUCAGAGUCCACACACCCACGGAAGGCAGGAGGAGGGAAUCUUCCGCGAAGGGCGAGAGCAUGCCGGAGCCACGGCGCGUGAGUGAGGGAUGUCUUCGGACCGUAAAACUCUGUUUUUAGGUAAGAACGAAUGUGUAAGUAACUAGGCAGGGCUGAAGGGAACCUAGUCAGGAAGCCCCGGCUAACUACGUG